rnacentral:tRNA from 1 species
CAGUAGCUCAGCUGGAGAGAGCAACGGCCUUCUAAGCCGUGGGUCGGGGGUUCAAAUCCCUCCUGA